rnacentral:rRNA from 1 species
GACGAACGCUGGCGGCGUGCCUAAUACAUGCAAGUAGAACGCUGAAGGAGGAGCUUGCUUCUCUGGAUGAGUUGCGAACGGGUGAGUAACGCGUAGGUAACCUGCCUGGUAGCGGGGGAUAACUAUUGGAAACGAUAGCUAAUACCGCAUAAGAGUAGAUGUUGCAUGACAUUUGCUUAAAAGGUGCAAUUGCAUCACUACCAGAUGGCCCUGCGUUGUAUUAGCUAGUUGGUGGGGGAACGGCUCACCAAGGCGACGAUACAUAGCCGACCUGAGAGGGGGAUCCGCCACACUGGGACUGAGACAAGGCCCAGACUCCUACGGGGGGCAGCCGUAAGGGAACCUCGGGAAAUGGGGGAAGGCCGACCGGGGAACGCCGCGGGAGGUAAGGAGGGUUUCCGGUCGUAAAGCUCUGUUGUUAGAGGAAAACCAGUGUGGGAGUGAAAUGUUCACAUUGUGACGGUACCUUACCAGAAAGGCACGGCUAACUACGUG